AGUUAAGUGAAUAAGGGCGCACGGUGGAUGCCUUGGCACUAGGAGCCGAAGAAGGACGGGACUAACACCGAUAUGUCCCGGGGAGUCGUAAGUAGACGUCGAUCCGGGAAUUUCCGAAUGGGGGAACCCACUGCUCGUAAUGGAGUAGUACUUUUAUCUGAAUUCAUAGGAUAGAAGAGGCAUACCCGGGGAACUGAAACAUCUCAGUACCCGGAGGAAGAGAAAGCAAAUGCGAUUUCCCAAGUAGCGGCGAGCGAAACGGAAACAGCCCAAACCA
rnacentral:rRNA from 1 species